AACGAACGCUGGCGGCAGGCCUAACACAUGCAAGUCGAGCGAUCCUUUCGGGGAUAGCGGCGGACGGGUGAGUAACGCGUGGGAACGUACCCUUUGCUACGGAAUAGCCCCGGGAAACUGGGAGUAAUACCGUAUGUGCCCUCUGGGGGAAAGAUUUAUCGGCAAAGGAUCGGCCCGCGUUGGAUUAGGUAGUUGGUGGGGUAAUGGCCUACCAAGCCGACGAUCCGUAGCUGGUUUGAGAGGAUGAUCAGCCACACUGGGACUGAGACACGGCCCAGACUCCUACGGGAGGCAGCAGUGGGGAAUCUUAGACAAUGGGGGCAACCCUGAUCUAGCCAUGCCGCGUGAGUGAUGAAGGCCCUAGGGUUGUAAAGCUCUUUCAGCUGGGAAGAUAAUGACGGUACCAGCAGAAGAAGCCCCGGCUAACUCCGUG
rnacentral:rRNA from 1 species